UUGAAAAGAUCAAUAAUGGCAGAUAAACAAUGUGGCAUGCAGUCUGGUCACCAUCGGACAGUUUUGACACCCGUAUACCCGGAUUUCUACCAAUUACCUCUGUAACCUUUGUUGUGUUCAUCACACAGAUGAUGGACCACUCUACUUCCUUUGACAACAGGUGCCCCUACAGAUUCACAAAGUUCCAGUGUUGAGUUUCCAUGACCCCUAUUCAUCCACGACAGGAAAAGGAAUAGAGUUGACAGGACUUCCCGCACUGUCCCUGGUAGCAGUUUAUGAGGGAACCAACCGCAGUAGACAUAGCACGCUUCAUCAAAUAUGCACCAGAUGCAGCGGCACUGUCUCCAUCACUGGUGAAAUGGGAUAUGACUAGUGGCCGGUCAUCACUUUGUAACUCACCAACACAAUUAGCGGCCAAUCGCUUCUCGUCUCCAAUGGUGGUCUCCGGAGGAAUGGUUGCAGUGCAGUCUUCGUGUCCUGGGCAGGUCUGUUGCAUGUUGGUGGCUGACGCUGGUUCAGUAUAUGCACCAAGAAGCAUACCACACAUACCCUCUGUUGUAAGACUGGUACCCAGGUGACCGACAGCCAUGGCCACAUUCAGCUGUGCAGCUCUUCGUCCCUUGCCAGAUCUUCUCACCUCUUCGUAAAGCUUUUCUCGGUGACUGGUAUAGUGGCACUUCUUACAUCGAAUGGAAAGGAUCCAUGCCAGGCUUCGUUUUUCCUCCCCAUGCUGAUUCCAGUCCAGUUGACCAUCACAGGCUGGAAAAUUCUAUUCCAUGUAGGUGUCCACUGGCUGGACCUCACUUGGCCUGGGUCGUAAAAACUUCAUCUCGCUGCUUCGGCUCUUGGCAUCUAUAACUGCAAACACUCCAUUUUUCUGUGGCCGUACAAUGUCCUGAAACUCUUCUUUACUUAGUCUUCUUAUGGGAACCAGAGAUUGGACUGGGCUGGUGGUCCCUAUUUUCUUCUGGCCUUUGUUGUGAGGAAUACUUCCUUUUUUGUAUUGAUGUUGAUGCAACCAUCUUGGUCCUUUUUUUGGCAUGAGCUGCCAGGACUACUAAGAGAAACUCCAUUCUUUGAUGACUGAUGGAAAAGCCUCAUCACCCCCCACUGCUUAAGAAUCCCUUAUCUUAAUCACCAGUCAUUAAUCGGUGAUCACUGUUACCAAAGCUCCAAGGUGCGCAUGAUGCAACUUCCUGGAUGGUGUGUAGGCUGUUUGUCAACAUGUGAAUCCCACGUGCAUUUCGGGGUAGGUAAGUUUACUAUCGAUUUUCUUUCUUAAAAGCUGCAUAAGGCAUAUUUUU